GGGCACCGCUAUUGGAAUCCGCUUAAGCCAUGCGAGUCGAGAGGUGUAAGACCUCGGCAAACGGCUCAGUAACACGCGGAUAAUCUACCCUGAGGUGGGGGAUAACCUUGGGAAACUAAGGAUAAUACCCCAUAGACCUGGAAUGCUGGAAUGCUUCCAGGUUGAAAUCUACGGAGCCUCAGGAUGAGUCUGCGGCCUAUCAGGCCGUAGUGGGUGUAACGGACCCACUAACCAUCGACGGGUACGGGUUUUGGGAGAAAUCGCCCGGAGAUGGAUUCUGAGACACGAAUCCAGGCCCUACGGGGCGCAGCAGGCGCGAAAACUUCGCAAUGUGGGAAACCACGACGAGGGGAUUCCAAGUGCUUAUCCAUUAGGGUAAGCUGUUUUCCUGUCUAAAAAGCAGGGAGAGUAAGGGCUGGGUAAGACGGGUGCCAGCCGCCGCGGUAAUACCCGCAGCCCAAGUGGUGCUCGUUAUUAUUGGGCCUAAAACGUCCGUAGCCGGACCAGUAAAUUCCUGGGUAAAUCGAGCGGCUUAACCGUUCGAAGUCCGAGGAGACUGCUGGUCUUGGGACUGGGGGAGGCUAGAGGUACUCCCGGGGUAGGGGUGAAAUCCUGUAAUCCUGGGGGGACCACCAGUGGCGAAGGCGUCUAGCUAGAACAGCUCCGACGGUAAGGGACGAAGCCUUGGGGCACAAACGGGAUUAGAUACCCCGGUAGUCCAAGGUGUAAACGCUGUAGGCUUGGUGUUGGAGAUCCUAUGAGGAUGUCCAGUGCCGGAGAGAAGUUGUUAAGCCUACUGCCUGGGGAGUACGGUCGCAAGACUGAAACUUAAAGGAAUUGGCGGGGGAGCACCGCAACGGGUGGAGCGUGCGGUUUAAUUGGAUUCAACGCCGUACAACUCACCGGGGGCGACGGUUAUAUGAAGGCCAGGCUGAUGACCUUGCCUAAUUAUCCGAGAGGUGGUGCAUGGCCGUCGUCAGUUCGUACCGCAAGGCGUUCUGUUAAGUCAGAUAACGAACAAGACCCCUGCUGUUAGUUGCUAUCUGCAUCUCCGGAUGUAGAGCACACUAAUGGGACCGCUGGCGCUAAGUCAGAGGAAGGAGGGGGCAACGAUAGGUCAGUAUGCCCUGAAUCCCCCGGGCUACACGCGCGCUACAAAGACUGGGACAAUGGGUUCCGAUACCGAGAGGUAAAGGUAAUCCCGAAACCCAGCCAUAGUUCGGGUUGAGGGUUGUAACUCACCCUCAUGAAGUGGGAAUCCGUAGUAAUCGCGGAUCAACAUUCCGCGGUGAAUAUGCCCCUGCUCCUUGCACACAUCGCCCGUCAAACCAUCUGAGUCGGGUCGGAGUGAGGCUUUCCUCGUUGGGAAGGUCGAACUUCGGUUCGACAAGGAGGGUU
rnacentral:rRNA from 1 species